AUUGAACGCUGGCGGCAGGCCUAACACAUGCAAGUCGAGCGGAUGAAGGGAACUUGCUCCUGGUUUCAGCGGCGGACGGGUGAGUAAUGCCUAGGAAUCUGCCUGGUAGUGGGGGAUAACGUCCGGAAACGGGCGCUAAUACCGCAUACGUCCUGAGGGAGAAAGGGGGGGAUCUUCGGACCUCACGCUAUCAGAUGAGCCUAGGUCGGAUUAGCUAGUUGGUGGGGUAAAGGCCUACCAAGGCGACGAUCCGUAACUGGUCUGAGAGGAUGAUCAGUCACACUGGAACUGAGACACGGUCCAGACUCCUACGGGAGGCAGCAGUGGGGAAUAUUGGACAAUGGGCGAAAGCCUGAUCCAGCCAUGCCGCGUGUGUGAAGAAGGUCUUCGGAUUGUAAAGCACUUUUAUUUGGGAAGAAGAGCAGUAAGUUAAUACCUUGCUGUUUUGACGUUACCAACAGAAUAAGCACCGGCUAACUUCGUG
rnacentral:rRNA from 1 species